CUGUCCCGACCACGGCGGUGCUGCCUACCAACACCAUGUGCAAGACUGCCUGACUUGUCCUCUAUCUUAAUGUUGUCAGCAAGAAGUUACUCCAAAUUCCAUCGCCUAACAAUAUCAUCAGUUGUAAGAAGUUAGGAGUUUGGUACGUACCCCGGUGCAAGAGACCAUGGAUGCAAAAGUCAGAUAAUUAGGAACCUGGACUACAAGGGCAAAUGGGAGGCACCUUUCAUCGACAUUCAGCCCAGGGAACCUCAACUUUCCCACUGUUGUACAUUCAUACUACUGUCCAUG